rnacentral:rRNA from 1 species
UGAGGAAUAUUGGGCAAUGGGCGCAAGCCUGACCCAGCCAUGCCGCGUGAAGGAUGACAGCCCUACGGGUUGUAAACUUCUUUUGUAAGGGAAGAACCUCCCGAACGUGUUCGGGACUGACUGUACUUUACGAAUAAGCAUCGGCUAACUCCGUGCCAGCAGCCGCGGUAAUACGGAGGAUGCAGGCGUUAUCCGGAUUUAUUGGGUUUAAAGGGUGUGUAGGCGGAAUAAUAAGUCAGUGGUGAAAUACUACAGCUUAACUGUAGAACUGCCAUUGAUACUGUUGUUCUUGAGUAUAGUUGAGGUGGGCGGAAUGUGUCAUGUAGCGGUGAAAUGCUUAGAUAUGACACAGAACACCGAUUGCGUAGGCAGCUCACUAAACUAUAACUGACGCUGAGGCACGAAAGCGUGGGGAUCAAACAGG